CCAGGGAGCACGCCAUCUCUCAACAGCUCCUCAACUUCUCCUGGGGACCAGAUGACAGGCCAAGCCCAAAAUCGAAGUGCUAGUUGGGGUGUGGCAGCUGCCGUGGUGCUCCUCAUUGCCUUGGCUGUUAUCUUCCUCGUGUUCUACUGCCUCGGGGUCUGGAGACGAGCCCUACACCCGUGGCUGCUGGUGGACCUGAAAGGUUGCCUGGUGCUAUUGGACCGGAAAACCUCACUGCUCUGAGGAGGCCCCUCAGGCUGCCUCGCAACAUUGCUCUGGCCACACCGGGGAUGCAGGAUAUGGUGGCGAUGUGGACCAUGCCAGUGCCCAGGCUUGUUGCAUCUAAGCACCCGCAGAUAUGACGCUGGAGCGUACACAGUCUCUCUCUAUGCCUUGGAUCAUGGGAAAGGUUCCUGGGCAAGCAGCAAAGACUGACCCCCCCCCACCCACAUGCGGGUGACCCUGCACUUAGACACUCCUAAUUUCUGCUGGACUCCC